UUCUUUUCCCCAUGGAUACUUUGGUUCCUGUUGGUUGCCUCCUUUCUCAUUUCCUGCCUUUAUUUUUCUAGGCAAAGCUUCAGUGCCCGAGGAGGUUGUGGAUUUUGAGUAUCAAGAACAGUGAAGUUGGAGCUACCAGAGGAUGUAUGAAAGACGAUGCAGAUCAUAAGGAAGACUGAUGGAGAAAAGUAACAACGUGAUUCAGGCACACCAGUGAGUUCUUGGGGAUGCACAAAAGUGUCCGGUUGAGAAACUUAUGAUAUACAAGACAAGACCCUGCCUCAGGAAGCGUACAUGAGAAUAAUUUUAAAGGAACCUUUUGGUAGAUGCAAAACAAUAGCAGUCCAAGGUGAUGGAAAUGUACUGGAACAGUGGGAGAAACUGGUAGCAUAUAGGAAGCCAAGAUGACAAGAAUUUUUUCAAAUAAUCCGUGAGUAAAUUUUUAUGAGCACUUUGAAAUUAUUUUAACUAACAGGUGAAUUGUUUUUAAGACAUACUGU
rnacentral:lncRNA from 1 species